GCGGUGUUUAUUGUUCUUGCAAAACAAAGCCUCAUCAACCAGUCGUCAAAUAUUUCCAAAGACGUGUAUUGAGCGAUACACCAUUUGAAUCUUCAAUUAUAGUUGCGUCACGGAAAAUUAAUUGCCAUUUGGAGAACCGGAAGAAAUCUGUAAAGUGAAUACCCGUAUCACAAGGAUCACGUGACUGUUGAUUUCAGUGGAUAAAUUAUCGCAACAGAUAGAACUUUUUAAACUAACAAUCAUUUUUAUCCUCGAUUCGAUGAAUCAAAAUUCAAGACUUAUCGCGUUGCGUGAUAAGACGGAGAAAAAUUAGAAAGAUUUUCGAGUAUUAUUCGAACGUACAUUAGCGGAAAGGUAUGUAUUUGCAUAUCGUACUAUAAAAAAUAGUUUCGGCAUUACCGGUUAGUUGAUAAGUGAUCAGCCUAGAGCUUAAAGUAGUCAGUGACAGCUACAUUAACAAGCGUUCUUGAUAACCCGAACGGAAGAGAAACACAGGAAGUAGAAAAAAGUAGGCAAAAUUAAUUAACCCUUUGCACGGUUGUUUACAAAAUAUCCGGUUCCUGACAGGCCUUCGGAGCCAACGAGUUCAGACGAACAGGCGACGCUGCGCGCGCAUUAAUAACACGCUGCCGACAGUGCCGUACAUUCUUUAAUUUUAUAGUGUAUUGUCUAAAAAAAAUCUUGCAAUAAACUAUUAAAGGUAAUGACUGUAACAUACAUAACGGAGUUUAGACAUUAACGAUAUACUAUAAAAGUAAUUGUAUUUCUAUGAAAUCGUACGAGUAAUUUAUAAUUUUGUUCCUUUAUGAUCCUACCGCUAUAAAAAAAUACUACUAUGUAAAAGCUAGAUAAAUUCAUUGUAAGCAUUUCGUUACUGAUGCACGUAUGCGUAUCAAGAUGAAAACUGCUUUCAAAUUUUUUUAUAUCAAACGAUACAAUUUACUAAAAAAAGAUGUAUAAUUUCGAAGCUAUCGUUAAACGGUUGCUUCUGAAAAAUAUUUCUUUUCCACACUACGUGCACAUUGCAAGUUACGCGUGAUGCAGAAAUGGAAAAAAAUUGUCGUGUGUACAGUGGGGAGAAGGUUAUCCUAUACGAGGUUGAGAGCGUGAGCUGCGGGUCGCAAAUGCACGGGCAGUUUCAAUAUAGAACUUGAGGCGCCCUUACCAGUGUUCUCGUAUUGGACCGGUAAGUUGCGAUUAUUUGGAAGUUUUUCAAAAACGGGGAAGUGCUGAUACGGUGUUUGACAACUUCGCGAGGCUUCCGGGUGACCAGUUGUCAACAGACGUGUAGGAGUGCAGAAGCCAACGAAAGAUUUUUUCGUAUCUGAUGAGCUCCUCCGUCGUUCCGCUGGUGGUAAGAUGGCUGUGCAGCUGGAUGGAGGAGGGAAGGAGGACUUGAAAACACAGUUUGUCACGCGGGAAGGAACAUACAAGCUAAUGACUUUGUCGGAGUAUUCGAGGCCAAACAGGGUCGGCUAUACGAACAGUCAAGGAAGUGCAUCCGUUAGGGUGUCUUUCGUAACUUUACCGGACCCAGCGGACCCCACGGGUACGCAAGGUCUCGGCGACCGAAUGUGUUUCAACUUUGGCAAGGAGCUCUAUGUUUACGUAUACCGGGGCGUUAAAAAGGCUGUGGAUUUGAAUAAGCCAUUGGAUAAAAAAUUAUAUAAAGGAACUAAUCCAACUUGCCACAAUUUUAACCAAACAACAGCAACUGCAGAUAGUGCACCAUUAUUAGUUGGUUUCUCUACGGGACAAAUUCAAUUGAUAGAUCCAAUAAAAAAGGAGUUGAACAAAUUAUACAAUGAAGAUAGAUUGAUAGAUAAGAGCAAAGUAACAUGUAUAAAAUGGGUUCCUGGCUCCAAUAACCUCUUCUUAGUAUCGCAUAGUUCUGGACAACUAUAUUUAUACAAUGAAGAACUCUUGUGCGGUACAACAGCUCCUCAUUAUCAAUCCUUCAAAUCAGGAGAUGGUUAUGCCAUAUAUACUUGCAAGACAAAGUCUACAAGGAACCCAUUGUAUCGAUGGGUCAUAGGUGCAGAAGGAUGUUGCAUAAAUGAAUUUGCCUUUAGUCCAUGUGGCUCCAAUCUAGCUGUAGUUUCCCAAGACGGAUUUCUACGUGUAUUCCAAUAUAACACAAUGGAAUUAGUGGGUUCAGCUAGAAGUUAUUUUGGUGGGUUCCUGUGUGUAUGUUGGUCACCGGAUGGAAGAUAUGUUGUUGUUGGAGGUGAAGAUGAUCUUGUGACAAUUUGGAGCUUUCAUGAGAAAAGAGUGGUAGCACGAGGUCAGGGUCAUCAUAGCUGGGUAAGCGUAGUAGCUUUUGAUCCCUACACUACAUCUUAUGGAGAUCAUGAUCCUGACUUCAGUGGUUCAGAUGAUGAAACAUUACCACACAAUAAUCAUAAUCACUUCCGUGAAAAAUCUAAUCGUCUGUCCACGACCUCACAAGGAGUUCAUUCGAAUAGAAACUCUUGUGGAUCAGAGUUACGAGUGUCAGGUGGUACAUGCUACAGGCUAGGUAGCGUGUCACAGGAUACUCAACUGUGUUUGUGGGAUAUUACUGAAGAUGUGUUGAGACAACCAAUGUGCGCAAAGCAGAGGCCCUCUGUAGCAGGUUCCGGUACUCUUUCUACAUCAGGAGCAAUCAACAGCGGGAAUGGUUCAACGGCGAAUCAUCAAUUGAACAAUUCUAAACACAACAAUUUGAAUAAUGUUAAUUACAAAGAAAAUGUGAGUGGUAAUAAUGAAAGUAGUAACAAUAGCACAAGUACAAAUACUACGGUGUCAACUGUAAAUUCAUUGACACAAAGGUUAGCAGGUCUUGGUUUUGGUGAACGUAAAGGUGAUAAUCAUAAAAGAAACUUUAGCCUCACAAUGAGAGGUAGUGGUGCAUCUAAUAGCACAAUAAUGCAAAAUAGUGGUGGCGAUAAAGCUACCACUAACUCAAAUACAAGUAGUAAUAUGAACAGUGUCAGUGGAAGUUUAGUAGGUGCAAAUAAAAAGGUUAGUUCUGUGAUGGACGAUUCAAUGAGGUUAAUAGGAACUGCCCGGUGCCCUAGGUUUGAUGAGUGCCCAGUAUUAGAACCACUGGUGUGCAAGAAGUUGGCGCAUGAAAGAUUGACUGAAUUAGUGUUUAGGGAAGAUUGCUUCGUAACAGCGUGUCAAGAUGGAUAUGUCUACACAUGGGCAAGGCCUGGUCACAUGUGAGAGUUUUAUAAUUUUAUCGGAAGAUGCUUGUGCUUGUUUCUUAAGCCAGUGGGGCAUUAUAUUUUUUACUUUGAUUGGAAAGAUUAAUGUUCUAUACCAUGCUUUGGCUGAUGCAAGAGAAUCAUGGAUGAGUCUUCCCAGAGUUAUCGCAUGCCAGGAGUGGGACAAGUUGGAAACGCUCUCCAUGUUGUCAGUCCAGUGGAGGGUGGAGGUACUAUAGUAUAGCCAGAACCAGAUAUCAAUAUACGUUCAAAGCAAGAAGAUGAAUACGUCCCGUCGUUACGUGUACUGCAGUCCUCAAAAAUGCAGUUUCCAUAUACCCAUUAUCGUCACUUAUAUUAUGUAUGGCCAAGUGAAAGUUAUUCCAGUACUGUUUAAAAGUUGGAUAAUCAAAGAAUUAUCAUAAAGGCAUCUAAUAGCUUAAUGCUUAAAGACACAUUUUUAUUUCAUAAGUCGAUUCUGGUGCAUACAUUUAUUCUUGCUUUCUAUUUUCGUUUCGUUUACACAUGGAAAGCAUUUAAAUUUCAUAGUCUUACACUUAUUUUAUAAGAAAAUUCAGAGAAAGUAAUAAAUAAAUUGUGUAUACAUGUAUAUAUGUAUACAUAGAUACAUUUGAUCUUGUAUGCUGUACACUAUAUCAUUCCAAUAAGGUCCUGUUAAGUGAAAGAUCUGAAUCGAAUGAAGUUAAUAUUAAGUGCUUAUGUAUAUGAUUAAGAACUUUUGUAUUAUUAAGAUUUAAUUACAGUUGUUUAAAGACUUGAUUUCAAGCGACAUGCUUUUGCAACAUACAUUAACGAGAAAUGCAACCGCUGUAAUCAGUCAGAAGAAUGUAUAAAUAUGAAAUAUUUUAAACAGUAUUCCGAUUUGCAUACUCGUUACUACUAAUUGUUUAAUCUUGAAUAGCAAUUCACGCGGAAAAAGUGAACUAAAACAAUUUUUUAAAGAGAAUUCACGUUAAAUGUUUCAUUCUUAAAGUUUUAUUAGUAUUAUUUUUCUAUGUUGUUAAUUAUAAAUAUUUGAUAUAUUUAAUGAAAACGUACGUUUAAUUGUUCCUUCGGUAUACUAUAUUUUCUGUUAAUAUAUUUCAGAAUCGUAGUCUCUUCGUUUUAACUAAAUUGUCCUAAUAAAAAAAUUGUAAGUUAAUUCCAAGGACGGAAAUUUUUAUUUAUUUUAUUGCACAGUUGUUUAAAUGGUUUUCUAAGAAACUUGUUCGCUUUAUUGGAAAUCUAUAAUAAGUACAUUGAAGAUGUACAAUCAGUUGAGGACUUUAUAUAAAAUGUGACUUUAUAUCUGAGAGCUAGGAAAUGUUAUAUACGUUUUAAUAAUAAACGAUUAAUGAAAUUUUUCAAUGGAACGUGCAAGUUACACGAUCACUAAGUAACUUAUGCGCUUGGCAUAAGACGGACAUCGUAGUUUUCAAUAAAAUUUCUUAAUCUAACGAUAACGAAUGAUCUUUACAUUGAAUAAAAGAGAUAUAUUGAAUUCUUCUGUUAUUUAGACAUGGUUCUCAGAUACAGAAGUCUAUGUAUUGUAAAGUAUGAAUGUAUAAACAAACGAUUAUCGGGUAUUCUGAUAAUAGACAGUAUUUCAAACGGAAUAUUCCACACGGCGAUACUAUUUAUUAAUUUAUAUAAAUCUAUAUGUAACGCAACAUGUAAGAGCAACUUUGCAUUGUUAUAAUUUACUGGAAAUGAUUUGAGAACAAUGGCAAAUUUUUCACCUCUUUUUAUAGGCAUUUUUUCAGAAAUGUUUUAAAAAGGAAAUGCAGAUGAAUUGAGUUCAUACGUUAUAAUGUAAAACGCUAACCGAGUUAGCUUAUAUAACUUACACAAUUAAGAAUGAGUUAAGCAGUGUUUCCUAGACAAUAAUAUUCGUCACGGCUUUAAUUGCGAAGAAUGUUCAAGAAUAUUUUAAUACCGCUAAAAAGCAACACAAUCAAUUCUAUUCAUAUUUCCAUUACGGGAAACCAUUGUCAGAGCAAU